CGAUCCAGAAUUACAUGAAGACCCUACAAUAUAAUCACACAGGGACCCAGUUCUUUGAAAUUAGGAAAAUGAGACCGCUGAGUGGGUAAGUGGUGCAUGAUCUAUGGGCCAGAUGACCUCUCUCCUACAUUCGAGCUGCCAGCUUCCUCUCCCAACCUCUAUUCCCGUAGCCCAUGGCUCAGGUAUCCUAGUCUGUAAGGGGUGGAGGCGGAGGGUGCCCCAGGGCCAGGUUGGAGGUGGGACUGAGGACUGAGCAACUCUGACAGUGGAGCUCAGUGGUGAAUUCUAGCUUCCAGGGUGGAGGAGGCUUGUAAACUCUGCCUCUCGAGGCUUCAUUUAUUUGUUCUAUUGUAAUGCCUCCGUCCUGGGGCAUUGGGAGGGUGCUAUGGAAUACUGGCACUAACUCCAGGAAUUAACUCUUGUGCUUUGGUGCCUUCCUGCAAGGUGACUUCUCCCUUUUCC
rnacentral:sRNA from 1 species